UGAUAAUAGAGAAGUCUUUUGAAACAAAAGUAAUGAAAAGAACUAUGAAUUCAGAAGUAGCUCUACAUCUCACUAGUAUAAGAAAGAGCAUUAGAAAAGGAAGGAAAAUAAGCAGAUGAUUUUAUAUUGUAAGAGGUUCUUCUAGAGCUAAAAGGAGCAGGUCUAACUGUGAACAAUUUAGACAAAAGAACAUUUAAACAGAGGUAGGAAUUUAUUUCAGCAAAGAUGACAGUGGGAAGCAUCGAGUCGUUUUAGGGUUGGAAAUCUCUACAUUUUAAAACCAUUCACAUUAGACUGGGGAUGAAUGGGAAACAGAAGUGUCUGAAAAGGUUCAAGCGGGUAGGUGAAAAUCCGAAGGCAAAAAUUGUUGCCCCUGGUGGGGACCUCUAAUAUUCAAGAGAAUUUUCUGCAGAAAAGGAUGUUAGUUUGAAGUUGCUAUUCUUCUCUUGAAUCUCUGCAGUUCCCUGAGCUGGUGACAAGUUCCAUAAUUGUUCUAGCUUUAUUGUUUUUUUCUCCACAAAGCUAUUUGUGAAAGAGCCAUAAAAUUGUCUUACCCAACGUUCUCAGUUUCAAGAAAUAUGAUACACAGCAGAUCGGAAGAAAUUAUUAUUAUUUUUUUUCUAUUUCACAGCAUCUUGGC
rnacentral:lncRNA from 1 species